UUUUUGUUAAUAUACAUGUAAUUUUAUGACUACUGUUUAAUAAUCUCACACUAAUGUAUUGUAAGAAUCCUCUGAAAUUUAUUUAAUGGUACCUUCACCCUGCUGCAUGUUAGAUCAGCUCUGUGUUUUAUUGUUUGAUUUCAGCACUUCUGGGGACCAGUUAUUAAUUGGGGUCUUCCCCUAGUCGCAGUCAGCGAUAUGAGGAAGAGCCCCGACAUCAUCAGCGGUCGAAUGACCUUCGCUCUUACCUGUUACUCAAUGAUAUUUAUGAGGUUCUCAUACCGAGUCCAGCCCCGAAACUGGCUCCUUUUUUCUUGCCACAUGGCCAAUGUGACGGCACAAGUGAUCCAGGGAGGCCGGCUCAUCCGACACAAAAUGCAGAACAAAAAUGCGAAAUGAGCCUUUGCAUGCAGUAGAUCAGAGCACAGACGGGUUCGUGCAGAUAAAGGCAAAUUGAGGAAGAUCUCUACCAGAUCCAUGCAUCAGAUCAGGAGAGCAGCUGCUAAAAUGCCAUUAUGUAGCAGCAAACAGAUAUUUGAAGCUGCUGGUGCCUCUGGAGUCCCAUGGACAUCAAGGUGUAGAGUCCUCCACUGCAACUGUGCAUAAACCUUCUAUUCUGCCGCCACUAACCAGUGCUCACAAGCAGAAACUGUCCAAAUACACAAGUUCAAUGGAUGCAAGACUUGUGAAGCUGCUAUCAAAUAAGGAGUCCUAUGUCAAAAUGUGACGUGACCUGUUUGAUUUCAGUACAUAUGUUGCAAACACA